rnacentral:lncRNA from 10 species
CCAGAAUGCAGUCAGCCCCCUCCCAUGGAGGAGCACUUCUCCAGGCUGGGGAGAGCCCCUUCCCCUCCUGCCGUACCCUGGUGGAGCCAGCCCACUGGCCUUGUACCAGGUGCACUCGGGUCCUGGUCCUGGACAAAGGAGUAGUAGCUGAAUUUGAUUCUCCAGCCAACCUCAUUGCAGCUAGAGGCAUCUUCUACGGGAUGGCCAGAGAUGCUGGACUUGCCUAAAAUAUAUUCCUGAGAUUUCCUCCUGGCCUUUCCUGGUUUUCAUCAGGAAGGAAAUGACACCAAAUAUGUCCGCAGAAUGGACUUGAUAGCAAACACUGGGGGCACCUUAAGAUUUUGCACCUGUAAAGUGCCUUACAGGGUAACUGUGCUGAAUGCUUUAGAUGAGGAAAUGAUCCCCAAGUGGUGAAUGACACGCCUAAGGUCACAGCUAGUUUGAGCCAGUUAGACUAGUCCCCGGUCUCCCGAUUCCCAACUGAGUGUUAUUUGCACACUGCACUGUUUUCAAAUAACGAUUUUAUGAAAUGACCUCUGUCCUCCCUCUGAUUUUUCAUAUUUUCUAAAGUUUCGUUUCUGUUUUUUAAUAAAAAGCUUUUUCCUCCUGGAACAGAAGACAGCUGCUGGGUCAGGCCACCCCUAGGAACUCAGUCCUGUACUCUGGGGUGCUGCCUGAAUCCAUUAAAAAUGGGAGUACUGAUGAAAUAAAACUACAUGGUCAACA